GUGUCUGUAUAUAUAUAGUUGUCACAGAAAUUUCCAGAACACUCUAGAAAUAGAACGUCCUAGAAAGUAACAACGGAAGUUUCUAGUAAAAUGUAGAAGUUUAAAUUAGGCAUCUUUCAUUAGGAUCAUUCUGGAAUCAUUAUGUAAGUCAAAUGGAAAGUUCCAAUCAUUCUGUGAUUGUUCCAGUGAUUUCUAAACUGCACAGUUAUAAGAUUAAUUUGCAAACAACUAUUAGGCCACACAACACAAAUAAGGCCAACAUAAAUAAAUAUAAUAAUUACAAUAUCAUAAC
rnacentral:lncRNA from 1 species